UAGGGAAUCUUCGGCAAUGGACGAAAGUCUGACCGAGCAACGCCGCGUGAGUGAAGAAGGUUUUCGGAUCGUAAAACUCUGUUGUUAGAGAAGAACAAGGACGUUAGUAACUGAACGUCCCCUGACGGUAUCUAACCAGAAAGCCACGGCUAACUACGUGCCAGCAGCCGCGGUAAUACGUAGGUGGCAAGCGUUGUCCGGAUUUAUUGGGCGUAAAGCGAGCGCAGGCGGUUUCUUAAGUCUGAUGUGAAAGCCCCCGGCUCAACCGGGGAGGGUCAUUGGAAACUGGGAGACUUGAGUGCAGAAGAUGAGAGUGGAAUUCCAUGUGUAGCGGUGAAAUGCGUAGAUAUAUGGAGGAACACCAGUGGCGAAGGCGGCUCUCUGGUCUGUAUCUGACGCUGAGGCUCGAAAGCGUGGGGAGCAAACAGG
rnacentral:rRNA from 1 species